ACCCAACGGCGCUGUCAACGCCGUGAAGAAAAAGGCUAAGGAUUAUGAAGCUUCCUCUCUCUCUCUCGCAUCCUACACUAAAACAACACGCCUAAGCAAAGCCGAAUCCAAUUCGCCUAUCAACCAGAUCUCCCCUUAAUUCUUUACUUUCAAUUUCUUCACACCGAUCGCUCUUCGAUUUCCGAUCAUCAAUUCUCAGAAGUUUGGAGGUCGGUUCGAAUCGCACAUUUUCCGCCAUGUCAAUGUUCAAUAAGCUUUUUGGUAAACCUAAACAGGAGUCUAAUGCCCUGGCCACGCUUGAUAAAUUAAACGAGACACUGGAAAUGCUGGAGAAGAAGGAGAAAGUACUUUUGAAAAAGGCUGCCACAGAGGUUGAGAAGGCCAAAGAUUAUACCAGAGCAAAGAACAAGCGGGCUGCUAUACAAUGUUUGAAGAGGAAGAGGCUAUAUGAACAACAGAUAGAGCAGCUCGGCAACUUCCAAUUGCGGAUUCAUGAUCAGAUGAUAUUACUCGAAGGUGCAAAAGCCACAACUGAGACUGUAGAUGCAUUGAGGACAGGGGCAGCUGCAAUGAAAGCAAUGCAGAAAGCAACGAAUAUUGAUGAUGUAGACAAAACAAUGGAUGAGAUCAAUGAACAAACUGAGAACAUGAAACAGAUCCAAGAAGCAUUGUCAAAUCCAAUUGGUGCUGCAGCCGAUUUUGAUGAGGAUGAACUGGAAGCAGAACUUGAAGAGCUAGAAGGUGCUGAGUUGGAAGAGCAACUUCUUCAACCUGCAACAACUGCUCCUGCUGCUCCAAUUUCAGUCCCUGCAGGCCGACAAACUGCUCGACCCGUGCCUCAGAAACGAACUGCUGAAGAAGAUGAGCUGGCAGCUCUGCAGGCUGAGAUGGCACUUUGAUGUGAUAUCCAACAAUGUUCUGAAGCAGGUCCUCGGGUUAAUCCUGUGAUGAGUUCUUUCCCUUUGUGGCGAGAAUUUGAAAGAGAGGCGAUGUGAAGAAUUGGCCCGAGGUUGUUCUGAAGAUUUGAACAUUUUUUGCUAUGUUCAGCAAAGCCUGAUGAACAAGGUCUCUUUGUGAUAAUACCAGACAAUAAUGCAAAUUUAAAUUAGGUCUUGUAUACUCUGUAAAUGAAUAUAACAUUAAUGUGGUUAGUAUUUGACCUAAUAUGGAGCUGAUGUGUGUGUCUCAAUUACACGAA